ensembl:misc_RNA
UUGUCAGCACUGCAGACUGGAGUCCUUCAAUCACCUGGAACAAGAACAGCCCAGACAGCAGCUGUGCAAGCAUCCCCCAUAUUAGUCCAUCAUGUCUCAACCCUAUUUUGAAGGAAUCACCACUAUGGGAAAAGAGAUAGUUUGGUCUUCAUGCCCAUUUAAUCCUUCACCUCC